rnacentral:lncRNA from 1 species
CUGUAGUCCCAGCUACUUGGGAAGCUGAGACCGGGGAAUCACUUAAACCUGGGAAGUGGAGGUUGCAGUGAGCUGAGAUCGUACCACUGCACUCAAGCCUGGGCAACAGAGCGAGACUCUGCCUCAAAAAAGAAAAGAAAAGAAAUGACAAUUCCAAUGAACAGAGGAUUAGGAAAAGGCUGAUGUUUGCCCCAGGGACUCCUGGGAAAUGUGGUUUUCUCCUAUCUCCAGCAAAGGCUGAUGGGAGGUAACCAAGCCCCCUUCUCUUCUUGCCUCAGGGACUGGAAUUGACAUCCCUGUCCUGCUCCUUCUGAUUGAUGGUGACGAGAAGAUGUUGAUGCAAAUAGAGAAUGCCACCCAGGCUCGGCUCCCCUGUCUCCUGGUGGCUGGCUCUGGAGGGGCUGCAGACUGCCUGGCGGAGACCUUGGAAGACACUCUGGCCCCCGGGAGUGGGGGAGCCAGGCAAGGUGAAACCCAAGAUCGAAUCCGGCGUUUCUUUCCCAAAGGGGACCCUGAGGUCCUGCAGGCUCAGGUGCAGAGGAUUAUGACCCGGAAGGAGCUCCUGACAGUCUAUUCUUCUGAGGAUGGGGCUGAGGAAUUCGAGACCAUAGUUUUGAAGGCCCUCGUGAAGGCCUGUGGAAGCUCAGAGGCCUCAGCUUACCUGGACGAGCUGCGUUUGGCUGUGGCUUGGAACCGUGUGGACAUUGCCCAGAGUGAACUCUUUCGGGGGGACAUCCAGUGGCGGUCCUUCCAUCUCGAGGCCUCCCUCAUGGACGCCCUGCUGAAUGACCGGCCCGAGUUCGUGCGCUUGCUCAUCUCCCAUGGCCUCAGCCUGGGCCACUUCCUGACCCCGACGCGCCUGGCCCAACUCUAUAGCGCAGCGCCCCCCAACUCGCUCAUCCGCAACCUUUUGGACCAGGCGUCCCACAGCGCAGGCACCAAAGCCCCAGCCCUAAAAGGGGAAACUGCGGAGCCCCAGCCCCCUGAUGUGGGGCACGUGCUGAGGACGCUUCUGGGGAAGAUGUGUGCACCGAGAUACCCCGCCGGGGGCACCUCGGAACCUCACCCAGGCCAGGGCUUCGAGGAGAGUAUGUGUCUACUCCCGGACAAGGCCCCCUCAAAGCCCUCGCUGGACGCUGGCCUUGGGCAGGCCCCCUGGAGUGACCUGCUGCUUUGGGCACUGCUGCUGAACAGGGCACAGAUGGCCAUGUACUUCUGGGAGAAGGGCUCCAAUGCAGUUUCCUCAGCUCUUGGGGCCUGUUUGCUGCUCCGGGUGAUGGCACGCCUGGAGCCUGAUGCUGAGGAGGCAGUGCGGAGGAAAGACCUGGCAACCAAGUUUGAGGGGAUGGGCGUUGACCUCUAUGGUGAGUGCUAUCGCAGCAGUGAGGUAAGGGCUGCCUGCCUCCUCCUCCGUUGCUGCCCGCUCUGGGGGGAUGCCACUUGCCUCCAGCUGGCCAUGCAAGCUGAUGCCCGUGCCUUCCUUGCCCAGGAUGGAGUACAGUCUCUGCUGACACAGAAGUGGUGGGGACACAUGGCCAGCACCACACCCAUCUGGGCCCUGGUUCUUGCCUUCUUUUGCCCCCCACUCAUCUACACCCACCUCAUCACCUUCAGGAAAUCAGUAGAGGAGCCCACACAGGGGGAUCUGGAGUUUGACAUGGAUAGUGCUGUUAAUGGGGAAGGGCCUGUCAGGCCGGGGGAACCCGCGGAGAGGACGUCGCUGGGGGUCGCACACCAGCCGGGCCGCCGGG